rnacentral:rRNA from 1 species
UACGAAGGUUGCGAGCGUUGUUCGGAAUCACUGGGCUUAAAGCGCACGUAGGCGGCUCAUCAAGUGCUUCGUGAAAUCCCCCGGCUCAACCGGGGAAUCGCUUGGCAUACUGUUGGGCUUGAGGCAGGUAGGGGCGCGUGGAACUCUUGGUGGAGCGGUGGAAUGCGUAGAUAUCAAGAGGAACGCCGGUGGCGAAAGCGACGCGCUGGGCCUGUCCUGACGCUGAGGUGCGAAAGCCAGGGGAG